ensembl:misc_RNA 7SK 7SK RNA
GGAUGUGAGGGAGAUCUGUCUGCAACAUCUGUCACCCCAUUGAUCUCCAGGGUUGAUUCGGCUGAUCAGGCUGGCUAGGGGGGUGUCUCCUUCCUCCAUCCCUCCCGAAGCUGCGCUUCAGUCGAAGAGGACGGCCUUCCCCUAAUACAGAGGGACCGGUCUUCGGUCGAGGGUAUAUGAGUACCUGUGCUCCCCUGCUAGAACCUCCAAACAAGCUCUCAAGGUCCAUAAGCCUAGACUAUGUCUUUCAGCCAGCCAUUGAAUUUCCAUAUUAUU